rnacentral:rRNA from 1 species
GACGAACCGAGCGAACGUUAUUCGGAAUCACUGGGCUUAAAGGGCGCGUAGGCGGGCCGUCAAGUCAGGGGUGAAAGCCUCCAGCUCAACUGGAGAAGUGCCUCUGAUACUGGCGGCCUCGAGGGAGGUAGGGGCGUGCGGAACUUCCGGUGGAGCGGUGAAAUGCGUAGAUAUCGGAAGGAACAUCGGUGGCGAAAGCGGCGC